CUUCGAGAGUGGACGCGUGUUUCUGUGGUUCGCGUUGUCUCCAGUCCCAAGUAUUCGACCUCGCGGGGACACUACGCUGUUGUCAACAAAGCCAUUCACAGGGGACCAGAAAAACAAUAGAAAAAUUCAUUAGUCGCUGAUAGUCAUGGGCAAGGUCGUGGUGCUAGUUCUCAGCGUGGUGAUCUGCAUAGCGGCCCAGCUGACGGUGGCGUCAAAGGAGAAACACAUCAAGCACACCGAGAAGGAUCUGCUCCGGAAGUCGAUCGUGUACGACAAAAACACGCCGGAUGUGUUCUACUGUCCGAUCAACAAGCCGACCGGCAUGGACAAGAUGAUCGUCAGAUCACGACCCCUUCACAAGCUGUGCGAACACGAAGGCAAACCACUUCCAGCGGACUACAAGUCCGACUGCUACAAGGACGUCGACGAGUCGAACUACGCGUGCAAGGAAAAGUACCGGAUCAUGAAACGCUCCGCCAAGGAGAAUGUCGAGAUCUAGUUAAUCGUGUCGCCAGGCCAGGCGAGUGAUGUUGGCAUUUUUCACAUACAGACACCGACGUACAUUAGGCAUUACUUUCGCCAGUUGACCUUCUACCGAAUCGGAUUCUGUACGCUGACUUUCCCGACCGGUCCCCUACCGAAACUGAUUCUUUCUAAUCGUAGCCUUUUCCUGUGUUUCCCAUAAAGCGCGGCUCUGUUAGUUCAACAACUGUUCCUUUAUCGUAAUUAAUCUUAGCUAACAUUUAACUUACCAAAAACAAAGAUCGUGCACCACGUCGUCGCAAUUGAGCGUUUGUGUCCGAUUCGUCUCAACGUUUCGCUCGGUCGUAUCAAGCGGUUACCAAAUGGAGCAAAACAAACCCAUCGUGUUUCUGCAUCAAUAUCAUUAUAAGCUUAACCUGCUAAUAGAUAAUUUGAGCUGCAAUUAAUGCAUGUGCUUAUCCCCGCAUAACCUGUUUCCUAACCCCCUACCUUCAACCGCCUGUGAGGUCGCUUCUGUUUGGCCUGAAUUUGAUUUCAGGUGUGUUGUAACAAUCCUUGAAAGCCUUCAAAGCAGAAAACAUUAAAAUAAUGGUGCCGAAAUCGCUUGCGAUGCUUACUCCUCCUAAUCCGUUUGACUAAAUGAGGACAACUACCUUCGACUGGGACCAAGGAACUCACGUAUAUAUACGAACCGCACACAAAUAUACCCAGACUUGAUACACAAAGGUUGAAAGCAUAUCUCGCUUUGCACACGAAAUUCACUCUUUGCAAAAACAUUCCUUUAAAAUCCGCAUCACGCUACACAAACGCCAGCUAAACGCUAUACACGGGAAAGCAGGUGCUAUACACGAAAGAUGCGACUCAAUCCGCCCGGAAGCGACGCCCCGUUCAAUGGACAGCGACUGAGCCGAUUCAUGGCGAUGGACGACGACAUGAAGCGACUCAAGGCAAAGAAACACUAGCAAAGUUCUGUGAAAAACGCUGGCACUGUGGUUCCUGCUUCUCUUUGCCAUAUUAACGAAUCGCAGCGUGUGGGUCUGUGCGAAAAACAUCUUGCAGUGAUAGUAGCUUUCUCGUGUUACCGAACUCGUCGCAGUGAAACGGGACGAGUAUCGGUAUUGUUAAAUGUUGUUCAAGUUUUUAGGGGCACACUUUUACUCAGAUUCGAUGUUCGAAAGCGACCGAGCAGUGCGUGCACUCGAAUACCGUUAGCACCGCUUGAUUUCACCGUGAUAACAACUGUUAAUAGCAAGCGAAUACGAAAUAAACCAUUAAA